UAAUGCCGGAUGCUCCAUCACACCGCAUGGUGUGUUGGGAAAGCCUUUGCGGCAUGGGAUGGGGUCGCGUCCUAUCAGCUUGAUGGCGGGGUAACGGCCCACCAUGGCUUCGACGGGUAGCCGGCCUGAGAGGGCGACCGGCCACAUUGGGACUGAGAUACGGCCCAGACUCCUACGGGAGGCAGCAGUGGGGAAUAUUGCACAAUGGGCGCAAGCCUGAUGCAGCGACGCCGCGUGAGGGAUGGAGGCCUUCGGGUUGUAAACCUCUUUUGUUAGGGAGCAAGGCAUUUUGUGUUGAGUGUACCUUUCGAAUAAGCACCGGCUAACUACGUGCCAGCAGCCGCGGUAAUACGUAGGGUGCAAGCGUUAUCCGGAAUUAUUGGGCGUAAAGGGCUCGUAGGCGGUUCGUCGCGUCCGGUGUGAAAGUCCAUCGCUUAACGGUGGAUCCGCGCCGGGUACGGGCGGGCUUGAGUGCGGUAGGGGAGACUGGAAUUCCCGGUGUAACGGUGGAAUGUGUAGAUAU
rnacentral:rRNA from 1 species